GGUGUUAAAUCCCGGGGCUCAACCCCGGAUCGCACUGGAAACUGGGUGACUUGAGUGCAGAAGAGGAGAGUGGAAUUCCACGUGUAGCGGUGAAAUGCGUAGAUAUGUGGAGGAACACCAGUGGCGAAGGCGACUCUCUGGUCUGUAACUGACACUGAGGCGCGAAAGCGUGGGGAGCAAACAGGAUUAGAUACCCUGGUAGUCCACGCCGUAAACGAUGAGUGCUAGGUGUUAGAGGUUUC
rnacentral:rRNA from 1 species